rnacentral:rRNA from 1 species
UACGUAGGGUGCAAGCGUUGUCCGGAAUUAUUGGGCGUAAAGAGCUCGUAGGCGGCCUGUCGCGUCGGCUGUGAAAACCCGGGGCUCAACCCCGGGCCUGCAGUCGAUACGGGCAGGCUAGAGUUCGGAAGAGGCGAGUGGAAUUCCCGGUGUAGCGGUGAAAUGCGCAGAUAUCGGGAAGAACACCCGUGGCGAAGGCGGAGACCUGGGCCAAUACUGACGCUGAGGUGCGAAAGCGUGGGGAGCAAACAGG